rnacentral:lncRNA from 1 species
UCUCUCUCUCUCUCUCUCUCUCUCUCUCUCUAUCCCUUCCACCUCCACCCGCAGGAAAAAGAGCACGAAUCCAGCAGAAGGAGACGACAGGGUCCUUGGCGUGAAGGGCGACGCAGAGAUUCACCUGAACGACAGCUGUAGUGAUGAGCAGUUAAGAGGAGGCGGUGGCUGCCGGUGAGCCCGGCAAAGCAGAAGGGCCAUGCCGGCGUGUAGACCAGGUCACGGAUGGCGCCGGAGAAAGAAAUGCCUCAGCCGGAAAGUUGACCAUCCUGUCACAGCUGCAAACAGAGGACGGUUAGUUCCUCACAGAGAUAGAUAGAUAGGGUGACAGAUAGAUUCAGAGAGAGAGAGAGAGAUAGAAACCCAGAGAGAGAAACGAACCGACCAGGUGAGAUGAACCUCCAUCCCUCCUUCCUUCCUGUCCAGGCUGCACCGUUGGUUCAGACGACGCGGUGGAUUGGAUGUUCCUUGUUCCUCCAACCCCAUGCGCUCCUCUCCUCCCCUCGCUCGCCCCGCCAGCCUCCGGCUCCGCCGCGCCGCAGUGGGUCUAAUUUUGGAGAAAUGAGAGGACAACCGUCCGUCAACAGGAAACCCAGUCCGGAGUCCAUCUUUCUCCUUUUUUCCCCCACCAAACCACCGCGAGGAGAUCGCCGGAAAACAGGAAAUUGAGCUGUGCGCGGAGCUUUCCCUGUUCCGAAACGGUGCAAGGGGAGCUUUUUCCUGCUUUCCUCACGGAAAUCACAGGAAGGCUGAAGAGGGAGGGGCCGCCGAGAAGAGAUGGGGAGGCUUCAACGGAGACCUACCCCUCCCGGGAAAGGUUAGAGGCCGCCGAAAAGCGCCCCCAGUUCACCAUUACUGCCGUCGCCGCCUCCUUGUGCUCCUCCUGCUCCUCGGCCAUUGAUGGAGGUCUGGAUCAACUUGGGCGUUGGAGCAUUCCGAGGCAUCAUCCGUCGGACAGUCGCCCACCUUGUCGCUUGAUAAUUAAAAUAAUUACGGACGGUGCCGUCGGCAUUGAAC